rnacentral:lncRNA from 1 species
CCAUUCCCUCUGUCUCCACCCCUGGGGCUCCAGAAAUACCUCCAGAAAUAUGUCGGGUCCACACCUUCCUCCGCUCCCCGCCUCUCCCCAGGCAUCAUCUCCCCAGUGCUCCUGGUCUGAGCUGGACCCAUUGCACCGAUGCCGAUGCCAGCUGCUGUCCGCCCCCUCCGCCUCGCCCACACCGCCUCCCGGGGGACUUUCUCCCCUCACUUUCCCUGCUCCCCCAGCGCCUAUCUAUGCAAAUCCGGGAGGGGGACAUUUGCCUGCCCUUUGCCCCCACUUCCUGUCCCAGUGGUGGGGCUGGUGUCACGGAGACACCCAGCAGCCUGCAGAGCUGCGGUGGUCACAGCUGCCGCCUCCCACCCGCCAGCCCAGGUGGCUGAGGUCGGCCCUGACAUGCCCCUGCGUCUCUCCCCUCCAGGCCUCGACGGGCCACACUUCAGCUUUCUGGUACAACUCCCAAGCCAGCAGCAGUGACCCUUCUUGUGUGCAGGCUUCCACUGUUGAACACCCAGGCUGCCUCCAGAUUAGGGCUAUUAAUGAGAACACUGAUGAUUUUUGACCAAGGCUCCUGGGGACAUAAUGCUUCCAGAUUUCUUGGGUAAACAGGAAGAGGUUGUUGGGCUGUAGGGAUGGUAUGGACCUACUUUGGCUUUAGUGUCCACUAACUUCCAUGGCUAAAGCAGUACAUGAUUCUUGGGAUGAACCAGACCAAGAGGGAUGUGAACGCAAGAAGCAUCCAGAGCCAGGCCUGGUGGUGCACACCUGUAUUCCCAGCACUCAGGAGGCUGAGGCAGGACAAUUGCCAUGAAUUCAAGACAAGCCUAGGCUAUAAAAAAAAAAAAAGAAGCCUUGGGACCCACUGGUGUGAAAGAUGACUUGGGCCUCUUCCACACGUCACCCUGCCACCGAGACCUGCCCACGCAGUGGCCAGCUGCUUGGGUCCCUGAGCCUACCAGAG